rnacentral:misc_RNA from 1 species
AAUCUAAAAAUAAGAACUGUAACAAUAUGCUUAUAUGCAGAACAACGUUGGCUAUGAUAUUACUAUUUGGAACUAUUUAUAGGUACAAUGUACAAGAGUCACACCAUGUAAGAAUGCAAUGGAAACAUCCUACUGUUGUAUUGGCCAGCUUCUAGAAACAACAAGGGAAAGAAUAACCCAAAGAGUUGUGGGUUUGAUGACUGGAGAAAAAUUCUCUGUAAAAUCUAUGCCUGGACGUUGAUAAAAGCCCUUUGCUGCAAGACGAGCUCUAUAACGGUUAAUCAAUCCAUCAAAUUUUUGUUUGAUUUUAUCGACACAUUUGCAGCCCAUCACAUUUUGGGCAUGAGAACGUGGAACAAGCUUCUAAGUUCCAGUAUUAAUCAAAGCAGAGAUUUCUUCACUCAUUAUAGCUUACUAAUUUGGGUCAAUAGAGGCUUUUGCUUAACAUGAUGGUGCGUUAGGAAUAGGAUGAGCAACAAGAAAAACUUUUGGCUUGAGUGACCCAGUCUUCAAGCGUGUCACCAUGGGAUGUAUAGGUUCUGGUGGUUGGUUGGAGGUUGUUGAGUCAGGUUAAGGGAUGAUUAGUCAUAUGCUGAGAUAGCAAUUGUAAGUGAUAAGCCAUGACCUGGUUGUUGAGGUUAGUUUGGUAGUGGACUUCUAGAGAUAAUGUUAUUGAUGAGGUAGUGUUGGGAUAGGAUGUGGUUGGUGUUUUGGGUGAAUGAGAUCGAGUUGCAAUAGUGAUGGGUCUCGGCUGGCAUGUUGAAGUGUAAUUAGGAGUGGU